GAUGAACGCUAGCUACAGGCUUAACACAUGCAAGUCGAGGGGUAACAAGAGGAAAGCUUGCUUUUCUUGUUGACGACCGGCGCACGGGUGAGUAACGCGUAUCCAACCUGCCUAUAACUAGGGAAUAACCUUGCGAAAGUAAGACUAAUACCCUAUGAUUUCCUUUGAUGACAUCAGAUUAGGAAUAAAGAUUUAUCGGUUAUAGAUGGGGAUGCGUCUGAUUAGCUUGUUGGCGGGGUAACGGCCCACCAAGGCAACGAUCAGUAGGGGUUCUGAUGGGAAGGUCCCCCACAUUGGAACUGAGACACGAUCCAAACUCCUGCGGGAGGCAGCAGUGAGGAAUAUUGGUCAAUGGGCGAAAGCCUGAACCAGCCAAGUAGCGUGCAGGAUGACGGCCCUAUGGGUUGUAAACUGCUUUUAUACAGGAAUAAAGUUAGCCACGUGUGGUUAUUUGUAGGUACUGUAUGAAUAAGGACCGGCUAAUUCCGUGCCAGCCGCCGCAGUAA
rnacentral:rRNA from 1 species